ACGAGUUUGAUCCUGGCUCAGAUUGAACGCUGGCGGCAGGCCUAACACAUGCAAGUCGAGCGGUAGAGAGGUGCUUGCAUCUCUUGAGAGCGGCGGACGGGUGAGUAAUGCCUAGGAAUCUGCCUAGUGGUGGGGGAUAACGUUCGGAAACGGACGCUAAUACCGCAUACGUCCUACGGGAGAAAGCGGGGGAUCUUCGGACCUCGCGCCAUUAGAUGAGCCUAGGUCGGAUUAGCUAGUUGGUGAGGUAAUGGCUCACCAAGGCGACGAUCCGUAACUGGUCUGAGAGGAUGAUCAGUCACACUGGAACUGAGACACGGCCCAGACUCCUACGGGAGGCAGCAGUGGGGAAUUUUUGGACAAUGGGCGAAAGCCUGAUCCAGUAAUGCCGCGUGCAGGAAGAAGGCCUUCGGGUUGUAAACUGCUUUUGUACGGAACGAAAAGGCUCUUUCUAAUAAAGAGGGCCCAUGACGGUACCGUAAGAAUAAGCACCGGCUAACUACGUG
rnacentral:rRNA from 1 species